AACGAACGCUGGCGGCAGGCCUAACACAUGCAAGUCGAGCGCGCCCUUCGGGGUGAGCGGCGGACGGGUGAGUAACGCGUGGGAACGUGCCCUUUUCUACGGAAUAGCCUCGGGAAACUGAGAGUAAUACCGUAUACGCCCUUUGGGGGAAAGAUUUAUCGGAAAAGGAUCGGCCCGCGUUGGAUUAGGUAGUUGGUGGGGUAAUGGCCUACCAAGCCGACGAUCCAUAGCUGGUUUGAGAGGAUGAUCAGCCACACUGGGACUGAGACACGGCCCAGACUCCUACGGGAGGAAGAAGUGGGGAAUCUUAGACAAUGGGGGCAACCCUGAUCUAGCCAUGCCGCGUGAGUGAUGAAGGCCUUAGGGUUGUAAAGCUCUUUCAGCUGGGAAGAUAAUGACGGUACCAGCAGAAGAAGCCCCGGCUAACUCCGUG
rnacentral:rRNA from 1 species